rnacentral:lncRNA from 1 species
CAGGAAAUGUACAGAUGCUUCUGUUUAGCACAGCUCUGCAGAGCUCACCAAAUUGUGCAUCAGCUACAGGCAGCAGGAGAUCACUCAGUUAUUUUUUCAGUGUUUUUCCAUAUGUCUCAGAAAGAGGCUGAUAAUAUUUUGCAGUGUCCUUAGAGAAUUCAUCUCUGAGGUCUAGGUAUCUCCUCUGGUACCACAAAGGAAAUACUGUAUUAUUGGGUCCCAGCAGUGCAGAGAGCAGUCAGCAUCCCAUCAUUUCCUGUUGCUGUCACUUGCUGCAGAGAAGCGGCGCUGACAGGUUACUGUAGAGAGCAGAGAGCUGUUGGAGGUUAACGCGACAGAGAGAGCAGAGUGUUGUGGCAGUGCGUCUGUCAAGGAACAACCAAAGAACCCAAGAUGCAAAAAGGACUGUAACAAGGAAGAAGCCCCUGAGGUGACCAGAGCCUGACAAAGGAAGCAGACUGAUGAAAGGCUCAAGGACUCUGCUUUGCAUUCUGCUCUCAUCCCGAGAAUCCUACAGAGACUAGCUGUGAAGGAUCCUGGGAAGAUGCGCCCUGUUUCUGAAUGAAGAGCAGCUCUUUCCAUUUACAGCCACUUCAGUUCGUUUCCCUACAUAAGCACAAAAAUAACCAUUUUGGAGGGGGAGGGGGAGCAAAAAAAAGCUCCCAGAAUUAUCUCAGGGAAAUAAAGCCAGGUGCCCAUCUUUGCAUUAUAUCCAAAUGAGAUGCAGCUGUUUAAAUACUUCCCAGACCUAUCAGUCCUGCAAAGAAUCUGUUCUGCUGUGGAUCAGGGUGGCUCACUUGAGGGGAAUGAGCAAUAACAUUUAUGAGACACAGAUACUCACAUAUUUGCAUUUAAAAUGGAUCCUCAGCUUGAAAACUCUUGAUUUUACUCAUGCUGCUGCCUCAGCUGGAGAAAGAAUCAUUCUCCUCAAGGCUUGA